rnacentral:tRNA from 1 species
GGCAGAUUGGUGUAACGGUAACAUAACAGUCUCUUCAGCUGUAGAAGAUGGUUCGACUCCAUCGUCUGCAACCA